UGUUUUUCAGCCAAUCAGAGAGCAGCACUACUGAAAUAGAACUCUCAGGAGGUAACAGCGUGUCACACAUGUGAUGUCAUAACCAUUGUCCACCAGAGAGCAGCACUGAGCAGAUAUAACACUGCUCCUGCUCAUUCUUCAUCAGUGAGGGGCUGAUGCUGGACACUGUAGGGGCCGAGAAUGCAAAGUCACAUACACUACUGUGACUGAUAAUCUAUCUUUUGUUUUCCUAUCUUAGAUGCACUAUUUCCAGGAUGUGGAGUAGCAUUUCCGGACCUACAGCAAGACGUUGGAUGAAGACGUAGAUUUCCAGACCUAUUCCAGAAGAAUUUGGAUGAAGGCACAGCCCCUCGAAUCACGCACAUACACAGACACAUUUGGCCAAAUUCUAGAGGUAACCUCCUUUAGUAUGCCCAGAGGAAGGGCAAUACAGUAGCCAUGGAUUCCCUACAGGUUUCCUCCCCUCUGGAGGUUUUUCCUGUCCUGAGUAUUAGUUACUGUACACUCUUUGUGAGUGAUGGAGGUUACAAAAAAUCCCCUACACAAACAUUUUUAUAUAUAAUAAAUAAAGUUCCCCUUUUUAAACCA